CAGAGUGGUUGUUCUUGUUUGGGAGAGUGACGAAUAGCCUCUGACGACGUCAUGAAAGUCGAGUUGUGUACAUUUUCUCUGUACAAGAUAUACCCAGGACACGGUGUUCACCGAAUCAGACAAGAUGGCCGAGUACUUCAUUUUCGAGAUCCGAAGUGUUGCAAAUUCUUCAUAAGAAAGAGAAAACCUGGAAGCGUGCGUUGGACGCAAGUUUAUCGAAAGCUUCACAAAUCAAAGAAGCAGACGACGGUUCGAAAGCGCGUGCGCCAUAUCAAGAAAGUCCAGCGUUCGGUUGAGGGCAUGACUUUGGAGGCGAUUAAAAAGAAACAGAAGUUGAGAUCUGAAUAUCGCGGACCUUCUAGAGAAGCCGCCAAAGAAGCUGCGUUGGCAGAAAUCAAAAAAAGAAAAGAAACGACAAAAUCUGCGCCAGUGAAAGCCGUGAAACGACAGCCCGUCCAAAAAACAAACGUCCCUAAAUUCCAAAAGGGAUCCGCGCCUAAAGGACGAUGAACAGAGCUUAAAUAAAAAACCUUUUGAUCUAU